AGUAGCGCCGAACCAUGUUUUAAGAAGCUGGUCAGGUGGAAAUUUGUAUAGACCACCACCCUCGUUUACAAAACAAACUCUCAUACAAAAGUCUUAAUUAAUAAUGCCGUACCCGUCAAUUCGAUAAAAAAAAAAAUAAUAUGGCUCAGGUACCCAUAAUGUGUUCCACCACCACCCAAUAAAAGAAUGGUGGUGGUGGCCACCCUUGACUGCUGGUUUUAGCGCUACUGGUCAUAAUAUGAUGAUUGAACACGUAAGAAAUCGUGAGUGCUCAUAGAAAAUCUUGCGAAAACAUCGCUGGAUUGUGAUAAAAAAAAAAAAAAAAAAAAACAAUUAAAAUUGGAUCCGUUUAAUAUUUAGACUUUUUUCGAAUAUUUACCCGAACAAUGUAUGUAGGGGGAAAGAAGAGAAAUUAAUCGUGCGCGUGUGCGAAUUAAUAUUUUAUUUUCACGUCGUCGGUGCACUACGCGCGCUCUGUAUACGCCUUUAAGUAUUACAAUCGCUCAAGUCUGAACGCCUCCCAUAUACGGUACGCAUGCAAUAUGUAUACGUGAACUCGUGUGCGUAUAUACGAAAACGUUUAUGCGAAUAAAUAAACAAGUACCGGCAUAUAUGUACGCGAUACAUAUUUUACGAUUGUGUCGUUUCGCGAAAAAAAAAAAAUAGAGGUAUUUGGCGGCGUGAGAGAUAGAGAGAGAGAAAAAGAGAAAAAGACAGGCUCACACAUUCGGAGGAAUUGGACACGCUAGAGGCGAGACGGUCAUUCGGCCGUAUAAAAACUUGUACACCGUCAACAAAUACGUGCCAUUUUGAUUAUUUACGAUUUAUGUUUGAAAAAACAAAAAAAAAGAGAUAAAUGAUUCAUCUGAUGUCCGUAUCCCGUAUUAAAUAUCGGUUGUAGAACACUACAGACUAUAAUACUCGUAUAUCGUAAUAAUAUGUGCACGAAUUGCGGGGAAAGGGGAAACAUAAGAAAAAUUGACGAAUUUACGACCCAAUUUAGCGGUUUCAUUAUUUUUAGUUUGUUUUCGUAAUUCGGUUAAAACAUUUUCUGAAGAUUUAUGAUUUUACUUGGCAAAAAAAAAAAAAAAAAAAAGUUGAGCGUAUUAUGGUAGUUUUUCUUAUACGUUUUGUCGAGGUCAAAUUAUGUACGAAAUUUCAAAACACGUAAAACCGAUUCGCUCAGAAUCGUAUGUCGAUAGGUUUAAUUUAUCGACGGGUGUAAAUAUAAAUUAAAUAGUUUUGUGAUAUACUAUCUGCCAUCUAUCUACCCAAAACCACUGUUCCCAACACAUCCC